AUUGAACGCUGGCGGUAUGCUUAACACAUGCAAGUCGAACGGUAGCACAAUUUCAGUUUCUUCCUACUGGUGGCGGGUUGCGUACUGCAUAGGAAUACAUCUGGAUCUACUUUUUCGUUGGUCAUAACGUAGGGUAAUUCACCCUAAUAUCUCAUACUACCUGCAGGUGACCUUCGGGGCUCUUCCUACUUUGCCGGCUUGUGUCAGCCGAUGUCGGAUUAGCUAUUUGGCGGGGUAAAGCCCCACCAAUGCGACGAUCCGUAGCUGGUCUGAGAGGAUGAUCAGCCACACUGGAACUGAGACACGGUCCAGACUCCUACGGGAGGCAGCAGUGGGGAAUAUUGGACAAUGGGCGCAAGCCUGAUCCAGCCAUGCCGCGUGGGUGAAGAAGGCCUUCGGGUUGUAAAGCGCUUUUGUAGGGAAAGAAAAGCAGUAGGUUAAUACCGCACUGUUCUGACGGUACCCAAAGAAUAAGCACCGGCUAACUACGUG
rnacentral:rRNA from 1 species